AACGCUGGCGGCAUGCCUAACACAUGCAAGUCGAACGGAAACGAUGGGAGCUUGCUCCCAGGCGUCGAGUGGCGGACGGGUGAGUAAUACUUAGGAAUCUGCCCAGUAGUGGGGGACAACUCGAGGAAACUCGAGCUAAUACCGCAUACGCCCGUACGGGGAAAGCGGGGGAUCUUCGGACCUCGCGCUAUUGGAUGAGCCUAAGUCGGAUUAGCUUGUUGGUAGGGUAAAGGCCUACCAAGGCGACGAUCCGUAGCUGGUCUGAGAGGACGAUCACGCCACACGUGGGACUGAGACACCGGCCCAGACUCCGUACGGGGAGGCAGCAGGUGGGGAAUUAGUUGGACAAGUGGGGGGCAACCCCUGAUCCAGCAAUGCCGCGUGUGUGAAGAAGGCCUGCGGGUUGUAAAGCACUUUCAGUAGAGAAGAAAAGCUCAGGGCUAAUACCCUUGAGUCUUGACGUAACCUACAGAAGAAGCACCGGCUAACUCCGUG
rnacentral:rRNA from 1 species